CACUCGAAAUGAUGACCGGAUAAUAGAUGACCGGUGUGUCAACAUGAAACAAAACAAGAGCACUUGAAAU
ensembl:ncRNA T10E9.11 ncRNA